rnacentral:rRNA from 1 species
AGAGUUUGAUCAGUGGCUCGAGGACGAACGCUGGCGGCGUGCUUAACACAUGCAAGUCGAACGGUAAGGCCCUUCGGGGUACACGAGUGGCGAACGGGUGAGUAACACGUGGGUGAUCUGCCCUGCACUUCGGGAUAAGCUUGGGAAACUGGGUCUAAUACCGGAUAGGACCACGGUCUGCAUGGAUUGUGGUGGAAAGCUUUUGCGGUGUGGGAUGGGCCCGCGGCCUAUCAGCUUGUUGGUGGGGUGAUGGCCUACCAAGGCGACGACGGGUAGCCGGCCUGAGAGGGUGUCCGGCCACACUGGGACUGAGAUACGGCCCAGACUCCUACGGGAGGCAGCAGUGGGGAAUAUUGCACAAUGGGCGCAAGCCUGAUGCAGCGACGCCGCGUGGGGGAUGACGGCCUUCGGGUUGUAAACCUCUUACAGCAGGGACGAAGGGUGACUGACGGUACCUGUAGAAGAAGCACCGGCCAACUACGUG